GCAUAACGCGAAGAACCUUACCAAGGCUUGACAUACACCAGAACACCCUGGAAACAGGGGACUCCUUGGACACUGGUGAACAGGUGGUGCAUGGUUGUCGUCAGCUCGUGUCGUGAGAUGUUGGGUUAAGUCCCGCAACGAGCGCAACCCUCGUUCUAUGUUGCCAGCACGUUAUGGUGGGAACUCAUGGGAUACUGCCGGGGUCAACUCGGAGGAAGGUGGGGAUGACGUCAAAUCAUCAUGCCCCUUAUGUCUUGGGCUUCACGCAUGCUACAAUGGCCGGUACAAUGGGCUGCGAUACCGUAAGGUGGAGCGAAUCCCAAAAAGCCGGUCCCAGUUCGGAUUGAGGUCUGCAACUCGACCUCAUGAAGUCGGAGUCGCUAGUAAUCGCAGAUCAGCAACGCUGCGGUGAAUACGUUCCCGGGUCUU
rnacentral:rRNA from 1 species